CUGCCAGACUCCUACGGGAGGCAGCAGUGGGGGAUAUUGCACAAUGGGGGGAACCCUGAUGCAGCGACGCCGCGUGGGUGAAGAAGCGCCUCGGCGCGUAAAGCCCUGUCAGCAGGGAAGAAAAUGACGGUACCUGAAGAAGAAGCCCCGACUAACUACGUGCCAGCAGCCGCGGUAAUACGUAGGGGGCAAGCGUUAUCCGGAUUUACUGGGUGUAAAGGGGGCGCAGACGGCGAUGCAAGCCAGGAGUGAAAGCCCGUGGCCCAACCCCGGGACUGCUCUUGGAACUGCGUGGCUGGAGUGCAGGAGGGGCAGGCGGAAUUCCUGGUGUAGCGGUGAAAUGCGUAGAUAUCAGGAGGAACACCGGUGGCGAAGGCGGCUUACUGGACGGUAACUGACGUUGAGGCUCGAAAGCGUGGGGAGCAAACAGGAUUAGAUACCCGCGUA
rnacentral:rRNA from 1 species